GGUCUCCAAGGUGAACAGCCUCUGGU
rnacentral:snRNA from 1 species